AGGGAACUUCAACUCGGCGUUCAAUCACGCAUUGGGGAACGUCACACAUGAGCUGAUGUCUGAAAGCCAAGUAUCAAAAAAACUCCAAUCAUAUUGGCCGGCGACAGCCUAUGACAUCAUCAUAGCGCGACCCGGAAGUAUAUAAGGAGCGCUUAGAGAACCAGUCAGUAUCUUUUUCGUCUUCGAAACUGUUCUGUCUGAUCGUGAUUUUAUUGACUCCGGUAAGGGAUUCUAUAAUAUGCCUUACAAACGUUCAAGAGAGAGUGUUCAUCCGUGUCCCAGGUUUUGACACUUGAUAUACACAUUUCUGGGCGUUUUUUUUCUGGGUGGGAGAGGAGCGCGCAUAGACAGUGCUUGAGGGCGCUGUUGGUGUGUUUGUCUGUUGCUUACUGUGAGCAUCUCCCUAUCGGGAAGCUCCAUUCUCGUUCGGCACUCUUCUCGAGGGAAGAGGUGUCCGCAUCUGUGCCUGGUGAUUCUGGCCCCGUUUGUGCUGAGGCAAAACGGCGGUUGCAAUCAUAGGGCUCGCAGGUGAGCUCGUUGGGAAAUUUGAGAGAGUUGUAUUCUCUCUCAGCUUCCCCGGGGCUGAUGAGGAUGAGCUGUUGGAUGACGAUGACGUCCGUUUUUGACGUCAUCGCGCCCGGCAGCACGCGCUCCUCAGACUGCUUGAGGGCGCUGUCGGUGUAUGCGGAGCUGCUGGUGUUUUUAAUCGAUCCCCAACUACAUAAGGGCAAUUUUUAUCUACCCUCUCCUCUUCUUCUUUCACCUCCUGUAUAUAUUUUAUGGAAAAUAAAAAAGUAAGGGGUUUUUGGGCAAACUGAAGUUGAUAGGUUGGCUAGAACGAAAUAUAUUGUGCAGGCCACAAAAUGGCCGCCUCUUAGCCACCUGUUGUUUAGAGCAUAGAUAUACAUAAUAAAGGCUAAAUGUCUUACGGCGGAGUCUCUAACGUCAUCACCGGCGGCCAUCUUGUCACAGGCAAGCUUUCUGGCGGGCUCUGUGGUACCUGAUAUAAGGAAAUUGCUGGCUUUAUAGGAGAAGAUGCCAGACUUUUGUGCAGCCUACAGAUGCUCCAAUCGCCGUAGUCUCAAAACGAGAGCCCGUGGGAUCACCUUUCACCUGCAGGAUACAGAGAUAGGAAGGUAACAAGGCACGCCCGAAUCCAAUGAUCGUUUCACAUCCGGUCUCCUGAGAUACCAUCAUCUGAUUUUUUUAAGGCAGCACAGAUGUAUCCUUCGCUGCCUUUGAUAUCCCAUAAUCCUGUGCAUUCCUUUCCAUGAUAGUUGAGCUAUAAAAAUAAAGACGGCUUAUGAAAUUUGA